CUUCUAACUGCAACCAUGAUAUAGUUAUCAGUUAGUGUACCGUAAACAGUUUUGUAUGUAUGUUUAUUUGAGUUUUCUUCUAUUUCGAUUACAUGGCAGUGUGAUUAUCGAUUACUUAAUAUAAUAAUUAAAUAUCACCGUUUACGGGAUUGUAUAUGUAGUCAAAAGCUUAUAUACAUGUAACAUAUGUUUUGUUUCUAACAGUUAGAAAGAAUAUGUAAAACGAAUUGAGCAAUGCUCGUGGCAAAUAUUUUAGGAUAAAUUGUAUAAAAUGAUCGUGUUAAUGGUUUUUUUUUUAAUUCUGUAGAAUUAAAAGGUAGUAUAUCAACAAUUUUUUUUAUCAUCCACGAUAAGAUCCAUGCGAUGUCUUAUGAAAUAAUUCUGGCAAGGUGCAGGGGGUGAUUCGUUGUCAAUGGUUCCAUUGAUAAUGGCAACUGAAGAAAGGUGCUUGAACCCAUAUGCAUAUAAUGGUUCAAUGUUUGAAAUAUUGUAGAUAUAAGUGUUUGAGUAUUUUUUCGUACGAGUUUGGUAAUGUUUAUUUGUACAUUUCCUCAGGACUUUUCUCUCCAGGAUUUCCAACUCUUUGGCCACUGUCGGAGAUACAGUGAACCAGAUCGGAAAGCCGUAUAUCAGCAUGGGCCUAAUGGCCACUUUAUAAAGCAACAAUUUAGUGGACUGCGCCCUUUGUAUUGGACCUCUAGCAUGCGGAUUGAAUUUCAGCAUCUUAUCAAAUGUGAUGACCAGAUAUAUAACUUUGGAUUCCACCGGUAUAUUGACACUCUACGGUACGACAUGUUUGGGGCAUUUACCAAACAUGCAUUCCUUGUGCAAAUUGCUUUUGAUUUGGCGGCAUUUAUUUUAAUACCCCAAGGACUUAUCAUGGGCAUAAAUAAGGCAAUAAUCUGCAUAAAGGAUAGCCUGCGAAUCUUGAGACACAUGAGAGAAAUCGUGUAAAAAUAUAUUGAAGAGAUGAGGCGCCAAAACACUGCCUUGGGGUACUCCGCUACAAACACAUCCAAAGUCUGACACUGUGUUUUGGACAUCUACGCAAAAUUUUUUAUUUGUGAAAUAACUGUGAAGAAUUUUUACCAGGUACGGAUCCGUUUCUAACCAAUUAAUUUGUACAAUAUGCCUGUAUGACUGACGGAGUCGAACGCCUUCUCUAUAUCAAGGGAUAUUGAUUAUCUUGGAAGAUUGAUAGUUAUGUCAUUAUGAAAUUUCAAUAAUGCGUGUUGAGUGGAGUGCGCCUUUCUAAAGCCAAACUGGAAAUUUGAUACUGGUUCAAUAAUAUAACCAUUUUCUAUUUUCUCCUUAAGGAUGUGUUCAAAUAAUUUCCCAAUGUUGGACUAGAGGGAAAUCGGGCGAUAAUCGGACGGAAAAAUGGCAUAAGUUUUCUUCUUGGUUGGAAGUAUUUUCGCAACCUUCCAAUCUGACGAGAAGUAUCCAUUGUUGAUGCAGUGGUUAAAAAUAACGGUGAGGAGGUUUAUGAUGGAAUCUAGAAAUUUUUUCAAGACAUGGUUUGAUAUUCUAUAUAAGCCACUGGAUUUUUUGUUAUUCAUACGAUGAAUAAUAUCUUUGACUUUUUCAGGGUUUGUAAAAUGAAAAUUAUCUGGAUUAUGUGAUGCAUCGAAAUGAUCAUCAAAAUUAUAAAUAUGGUGGGGAAUGGCAUUUACACAAUUUGCUACUCUUUCUUACAAGUCCUCAACUGGUCAACGAGGCAGUUUAUGACUGAAUGUACCGUAAACAGCUGAGUACAAUUUUUUCUCGCUAAGUGCACUAUCUGAUAACGAGUUUUGGUUGUGUGUGGGUACUAUAAUUAAGAAUCAUAACACAACGAUAAAUGGCGCGAACUAGUAAAAUACACGAAAUCAGAGUUGCACUAUUCAGUGAUUUUGACAGAUAGUGCAAUCAAUAUUUUGUUGUAACAAACUAUUGUACGAAGUUAUAACGAUUGUGAAAGUGUUGUGCUCUUUGUUUUUUUUUUUUUUGUUUAUUUAAUUUAUAACAACAAAAGUACUACAAAAUCUAUUAAUUUUUACAAAUAAAAGUAGAAUUCGUUUCUUUUUAAAUAGUUUUGUGUUUCAUUAUUUAAUAAUUUCGAAGCGGUGGGUUUUUGUACUUAAGCAGCUGAUAAAUUGGUUGGUGUCAUAUGAAUUUUUAUAUGUAAAUGGCAACAUUUUGACCAAAAAAAUCAAAUGUGGUCCACCGAAAAACGAUUUAGGGAAAUUUUUCCCCAAAAAAAAAGUAGUACCAGCCUUAAGGGUUGGUAUCGAGAUAUAUUCAUUUACAGGUAGCGGAAGUUGCCCAACAACAAAAUAUUGAGUGCAAUAUCUGUCAAAAUCAGUGAUUAGGGCAACCCUGAUUUUGAGUAUGGCACUAGUUCGCGCUAUAUUUCGUUGUCUUAUGGUUCUUAACUACAAUAUAAUGCACACAAAUGCAAAUGCGAAUUUGCCCGUGAACAUUCCAUUAAGGAACUGGGACAUAUAAUGCACAUAUACAACCAAAACUCAUCGCGGAAAUCUUUAAUUGUUCCGCGAGCGGAAUUUGACAGUUAUGUUGUAUUUUCAUACCAAUAGACGUUUUUUAUCUGCACUUUUGGUUUUAUUUUUUCGCAAAUAAAUUAAAUAACAAAAAGAAAAAACCAUCCAUUGAAGCCAAUAAAACAAAAAUGAUGCCGACAAUAGUGUCAAGCGUUGUCACUAAAAUUUCUUUUUGCCAUUUUCCUCACUAUAAACAGAGUACUACUUUUUCGCCUAUUUUCCUCCAGCGUUUCGCCGACGUUUUUUUAUAUAGAGUUUUACAGCAUUCCACCUGAAAUACUAAACAGAAUACUCAGCUUUAGUGUGCGUAAUAAAAAAAUACAAAUAUGCAUUUAAAAACGAGAAAAAAAUUUGACUCGAUUACCCGGAACGCUUCCGAUUCCGACCUUCCCCGAUAAUCGUUUACAUUUUUGGUAUCACGUAAGUCUGGAAACGAUUGAAUAUUACUAAAUGAAAUUGACCUCCCCCGGCAAAACAGAGUACUUCUGGCUCAAUUACGUUCCGCCAGAUGCAGUCGCCUCAACUCCUACAGAGAAAGGAUUGAAGCUGACGGGCGAGAUGUAUGUCUUGAUUGUAACCAGGGACCGCACGAUACACGUCACCUGUUUAACUGCCCAGCCAGACCCACUCGAUUAAGACCCAGAUCCCUGUGGUCGCACCCCAUCUUAGUCGCAGAGUUCCCGGAUCUUGACACAGAAUCAAGCAGACGAAAUAUAGAACACAACAAACUGCUACAACAACUCCCACUAAAUUUGAUAUUCGCUUUCGACUACGACUGCUGUCGAUUUUCGGCCUCGACAACGGGAAUAAGG